UACGAAGGGGGCUAGCGUUGUUCGGAAUUACUGGGCGUAAAGCGCACGUAGGCGGAUAUUUAAGUCAGGGGUGAAAUCCCAGAGCUCAACUCUGGAACUGCCUUUGAUACUGGGUAUCUCGAGUAUGGAAGAGGUGAGUGGAAUUCCGAGUGUAGAGGUGAAAUUCGUAGAUAUUCGCAAGAACACCAGUGGCGAAGGCGGCUCACUGGCCCGAUACUGACGCUGAGGCACGAAAGCGUGGGGAGCAAACAGG
rnacentral:rRNA from 1 species